rnacentral:rRNA from 1 species
UACGAAGGGGGCUAGCGUUGCUCGGAAUCACUGGGCGUAAAGCGCACGUAGGCGGCUCUUUAAGUCAGGGGUGAAAUCCUGGAGCUCAACUCCAGAACUGCCCUUGAUACUGGGGAUCUUGAGUCCGGAAGAGGUGAGUGGAACUCCGAGUGUAGAGGUGAAAUUCGUAGAUAUUCGGAAGAACACCAGUGGCGAAGGCGGCUCACUGGUCCGGUACUGACGCUGAGGUGCGAAAGCGUGGGGAGCAAACAGG